GUGUGCCUCUUACUUGGAACCCACUUUCCCUCCAUUUCCUUUCUUCUAUGUAGCAAGCCGGCAAAAGGCAGUGGAAGGGACUUCUGGGGACGGUCCUGUCAUUUCCUGCAGUAUUUUCGUGAGUCAUUCAGCAUCGGUCUCUUCCCUACUCCUAUUGUCUGGCUGGAGAGAAGCACCCUUUCAUAGCUCUACCCCUUUCUUUUAUGGAUGGAGAAAAUGAGGCCCAGAAAAAUAAAUGGAUUUGUCCAAGAUAACCCUGAUUGUUUAAUCAGGGUGUUGCAGAGCUCACAUCCGCUGGUCAUGUGUUUGCUGGAGGACUCAACUUUUGGAGUCUCUGAUUUUUAUUUGUAAAAAAGAGGUAGUAGUAUAGUUCUUGAAGAUUCAUCUUACAGAAGUAAAUUGAUGGAAAAACUACUUUAUUAAGGCAUAAUUGACAUAAAAUAAACAGCAUGCACUUAAAGUGUACAAUUUGAUAAGCAUUGACUUAUGUGUACAUCCAUGAAACUGUCACUACAAUCAAGAUGGCAAACAGCCCUCAUCCCCAAGAGGUUCCCUGUGCCCCUUGUCAUCCUUCCCUGCAUUCCUCCCUCUCUUCCUCCCUAGACAAUCACUGAUCUGCUUAGUUUACAUUUUCUGGAGUUUUAUAUAGUGGAAUCACACAGAUUUUAUUCUUUUUUGUAUGACUUCUUUUACUCAACAUAAUUGUUUUGACAUUCAUUCUUUAUAUGGAAUGAAUCAAUAUUUAUUCUUUUUAUUUUUGAGUAGGAUUUUAAGGUAUGGAUACAUCUCAACUUGCUUAUUCAU
rnacentral:lncRNA from 1 species